rnacentral:rRNA from 1 species
CMSAGGUUACUGCUAUCGAGAUUCGASYAAGCCAUGCGAGUUGAAUGUUCUUCGUGAACAUGGCGGACUGCUCAGUAACACGUGGACAACCUACCCUUGGGUCCGGCAUAAUCCUGGGAAACUGGGAAUAAUUCCGGAUAGGUCACCGAUGCUGGAAUGCGCGGUGGCCGAAAGCUCCGGCGCCCGAGGAUGGGUCUGCGGCCUAUCAGGGUUGUAGUGGGUGUAACGUACCUACUAGCCUACGACGGGUACGGGUUGUGAGAGCAAGAGCCCGGAGAUGGAUUCUGAGACACGAAUCCAGGCCCUACGGGGUGCAGCAGGCGCGAAAACUUUACAAUGCGGGAAACCGUGAUAAGGGGAUCUCGAGUGCCAGCAUAUAAUGUUGGCUGUCCAGAUGCCUAAAAAGCAUCUGUUAGCAAGGGCCGGGCAAGACCGGUGCCAGCCGCCGCGGUAACACCGGCGGCCCGAGUGGUAACCGCUAUUAUUGGGUCUAAAGGGUCUGUAGCCGGCCAGGUAAGUCCCUUGGGAAAUCUGGCAGCUCAACUGUCAGGCUGCUAGGGGAUACUGUUUGGCUUGGGACCGGGAGAGGUGAGAGGUACCUUGGGGGUAGGGGUGAAAUCUUGUGAUCCUCGAGGGACCACCAGUGGCGAAGGCGUCUCACCAGAACGGGUCCGACGGUAAGGGACGAAAGCUAGGGGCACGAACCGGAUUAGAUACCCGGGUAGUCCUAGCCGUAAACGAUGCUCGCUAGGUGUCAGUCACGGUGCGACCGUGAUUGGUGCCGUAGGGAAGCCGUGAAGCGAGCCACCUGGGAAGUAUGGCCGCAAGGCUGAAACUUAAAGGAAUUGGCGGGGGAGCACUACAURCGGGUGGAGCCUGCGGUUUAAUUG